CCUACGGGAGGCAGCAGUGAGGAAUAUUGGUCAAUGGGCUUACGCCUGAACCAGCCAAGUCGCGUGAGGGAAGACUGCCCUAUGGGUUGUAAACCUCUUUUGUCAGGGAGCAAUUGGCGCUACGUGUAGCGUUAUCGAGAGUACCUGAAGAAAAAGCAUCGGCUAACUCCGUGCCAGCAGCCGCGGUAAUACGGAGGAUGUGAGCGUUAUCCGGAUUUACUGGGUGUAAAGGGGGCGCAGACGGCAAUGCAAGCCAGGAGUGAAAGCCCGGGGCCCAACCCCGGGACUGCUCUUGGAACUGCAUGGCUGGAGUACAGGAGGGGCAGGCGGAAUUCCUAGUGUAGCGGUGAAAUGCGUAGAUAUUAGGAGGAACACCGGUGGCGAAGGCGGCCUGCUGGACUGUGACUGACGUUGAGGCCCGAAGGCGUGGGGAGCAAACAGGAUUAGAUACCCCUGUAGUC
rnacentral:rRNA from 1 species